CCUACGGGAGGCAGCAGUGGGGAAUUUUGGACAAUGGGCGCAAGCCUGAUCCAGCCAUGCCGCGUGUAUGAAGAAGGCCUUCGGGUUGUAAAGUACUUUUGUCAGGGAAGAAAAGGAUGUUGUUAAUAGCGGCAUCUGAUGACGGUACCUGAAGAAUAAGCACCGGCUAACUACGUGCCAGCAGCCGCGGUAAU
rnacentral:rRNA from 1 species